AGCUGAAUGACAGAAAAAUUACUGAAACAUAAACUAUGCAUCAAUUCCUCAGGAAAGGCUGGGGUUCCUAGCUGCUUCGGUGCUGGAAAGCUGCCAGACUCUGCAGAAUGGAAACAAGAAGCUAUUUGAGGGUGAGUGGAUCCCCAGCCAAUAAGUCUCUGGAUUGCUCUAUCCCUUUGAGAGGAUGGGCCUCACACAUCCUGCUCUCUCCUGUGCAAAAAGGGAUCUAAGACAGGUAAAUGUGAAGGGAACUUGUCCUUAACUACUGGUGGUCCCUGGCUAGGGUGACUUUGUUGGGACCCAAAGGUUAAGAAAGCAUUGACCUGCAUCUUUGUCACUUCCAAAGGUGGCCAAAUCUUGUGGAACCCCAGGCUGCUCCUGGGCACAGUGAACAGCCAGAUUUCUCUCUCUUCCUUCAAUCUUGUUUGUCCCAAGGGAAGGGGGACCACCAUAUGCAUAACAGAAAUGCUCCUUAACUCCCUAGGCACGCACCUAGAAGUGUUCUCUUUUUUGUGCUGCCUGCUCUGAUAUUCCCUGUGAACCACUGGGAAACCUUCCCUCCAGAAUUCCAGUACUAAUCUAUGCUGAGACAGGACCAUGGCCAGUUCUAGGCCAGUCCUAGCUAGUUAGGGAGACCCUGCCAUGCUGUAGAUAGAAUAUGGAUAGGAGGGACAAAACAGCCAACGGAUUUCCCUUGUGCUUUGUUUGUAUAGCAAACUGGCCCAUCAGUAUAAAUGUGUAACCUGUGCUACUUCACAACUAACUUUCUAUUUUCCAUUCUUUUUCAAGGUUGGUGUGGAGUUAGGUAUCAAUGCCAGGGGAUGAAGAAGUGGUUCAAGUUGGAGGGUUUCAUAUCACAUGGACUUGUUCUGGGCACAGAAUGGAGGAGGGCCACAGGGAGGAAGUGCUCAGGCAUUGAGGAUUGAGUAAAUUGUCCCUAAGUGGAUGAUGGGGCAGAUGUGGCUGGCCAACAUGGAGAAUGCCUUCCUGUCACUGAAGUGAACAUUUUAAGAGAGGAAAACCUGGAGUGAUCUCAAGAAUAAAUUUAUAGGAUCACAUAGAGGUAAGCCAAGAAGGAGAGGAGGAGGGAGAGCGACAUUAGGGCAGUAGAGUGGUGGGGCAGGCAUGGGGCAGGCUGAUCCAGGGCAGUGGGGCUCAGCUGCUGGAGCAGGCUGAGUGGGCCACAUGGAGCUCCACUUGUGCAGCAGGUGGCCAAGGCAUUGGUGUGAGCUGAAGCUGGAGUUGGAUCAGGUGCUGGUUUGGGACUUGGGGCUGGGGCUGAAGCUGCAUCCAGCCCAAGCUCCUGAGCCUGGGCUAGACUGACCUGACAGCUGCAAGAGGAGGAAGGAUGAGGAAGAGUCCCCUGUUCUUUUAGGGUCACAAAUCCUGCCCACUGCCUUCCAGAGCAGGUGCUAUCCACAGGGUCUCCCCCAGGAGUCUUCUGCCAAGGCAGAGAUCUCCCUGAUGCUGUGCCCUUUUCCCACUUGAAGAAGCUCUGUUCUGUGUGCCUUUCCAGCCCGCUUUCUUUUCACUUCAGGUCUCAGUCCUCCUCUCUUGUUCAGGCUGUGCCCCAGUGAGCUCCACGUGGAAGAAGUCAGCUGGGUGCACCAGGUGGGAGCCAGUGAAGCUCAGUCUUGCCUUGGGCCAGUGCCCUGUUGGGUGGGUCUUGAUGAAGCCCCGGGCAGAAGGCUGGAGCCAGGCAUCCAGGAGGGAGGGCACUACCUGAGCACGGUCUUGGGGAACUACAAGGUGAAAGGCCUGGCCUUUUCAUUCCCUGGAGCAGUGGCUGUGGAGAGGGGGACAAGGCUUGACCCACACCCUCGCCCAUGCCCACCUCCAGUAUAGCAGUCCUGGUGGAAGGCCCUGCCCAUCCAGGAGGAGGACGGACCUGGCCUGCGGAGUCCACAAGAGUUAGUGGCUGCACUCCACUUCUAUAAAAUAAAUGCCAGUGGCUGGAAAUUGACCUUGGACAGAGAAUGAACAUCACAGAUUUGGCCUCCUCUGAUCAGCUAUCUCCUGAUGUUCAGUGACAGUGGGAAGAACUAGAAGCAAUGUCAACGUGAAGAAAGCAUCUGGGAAGUAUAAGAGCAAAGCCCUGGCCAUGGCUUCCCUGAAGGAGCCCUCACUGAACCUCAGCCAAGUGAACAGAGCACCCUAUGGACUCAGGAAAGUGCAGUACCCAUCAAGUGACCUGUUCUUGCUCUUUUACUCUCACCUUCCUCUGCUGGAACUGGAGGGCUCAAAGGCCAAGGUUAUUGGGCCUGUCAGUUCGACAAAAUAGAAGCACCAAGACACAGCAGAUGAAGAAGGCAGUGCUGCUUGCCAGCCUUAGCCCUGCAGGCUUCUCUUGAAGAUCAGCUGUUCCCAGUGAAUGGACUGACCCUCUCAUCUUGAUGAAUCAUCUGAGCUUGAAGCAUUGACACAUGGUUGACAAAUGUCAUCACAAUAGAUUUUAUGAAGGCAAGGAGUGGAUUUGCUCUUGAGUGAGAGGAAACCCAGGGGCAAGAUUCCUCCACCUCUGAACUCAGGGCCACCACACUAUACCCUCAAUAUUUCUGCAGCCUCUUUGUGACAUGUGAAGAUAUGUGGUCUACGGAUGCACAAUUUCAAGGCAGAGGUAAGCUAAACUGUUGGGACAAAUAGAUUGAGCCAGAUUCUGGAGUGGAGUUUCCCUAAGUUGGCUCAUCCUGAAGUAUCCUGAAGACUUUCUAUAGUGCCUACAGUGUUUCCAUAGUGCCUGG